GCGUCCUUGGUGUAACGGUAACACACAAAUCUACUUACGCGAACUGAUGACUAAAUGAGAUUGGGUCCGGGGUUCGACUCCCCGUGGGCGCA